CUAGACUAAGUUACUCAAAUUAAGACUUAUUCUAUGCAUCUGCUCUCCCACAAUAUGGCGCUGGGAGAGGAGAAAACAGCUUCUACCCAGCUGCCUCCAGUUCAACCAAUAAACAGCAGGACCUGCUCCUGAUUGGAGAAGAGCAGCGUACUCGGCGUGUGGGCAGCCGAGUUGGGAUUGGCAGAGGAGGACUAUAAAGGAGGAGAGAGACGGCAUGCACCAGGAACAUCUAAGAGGAACACCUGUGCAGCCCCCGAGAGAGCCGGCCGGCGGUGUGCCGCUCCCCUGCGGAAGUGGGGAAUGCGGCCAGGGGGAACUGCCCUUCCACGGAGGUGGAAGGGAUAGUAGCCAACCCGGGAAGAACCAGCAGCAAACCCGGGGAGGGCCGAGCAGACGAAAGAACAGCGCAGGGUCCUGUGUCGUUCCUCCACGAAGAGGGGGAGCGACAUAAUGGUGCCGUGACUCGGUUAGGAAACAUAGGACGGAUAUGAAACUUAGGAGGGAAGAAACGGGAAGAACUGGGAAAAUGCCAGAGAGAGAGACUAGCAAACAGCCUAGGGAAAAGCUGGACGAAAAAGGUGCCAGAAGAAGCUAUUGAAAGCCUAGGCAUAGACUCGGAUACGGACUGUGGGAAAGAAGUUAGGAUUUAAAGUGAAAGCAAGAAGAAACUUAGACUCAGAUACGGACUGCAGGUUGAAAGUGAAAGUGAAACCUAUAAGAAACUUAGACUUGGAUACGGACUGUGGGGAGAGGCCAGGAGAAAUGAGAGGAAUAUUGUUGGAAGAAAACUUAAGGAAACAUACCGGGUAGAGAAAAAUGUUAGGGAGGAUGAAGCCGCGAGUGCAGGCCGAGGCGGAGACUUUAUAAGCCACCUUGGAAUUCUUCAAGUCACCCCGGGGAGCAAGAGGCGAAGAUCUGGAACCAGAGGCAGAGACGUGGGCCGCCAGGAUUCGCCAGAAGCUGAGGCUGUGUGAAGACUGACCUCAAGACACAAAUAACUCAGUACUUCCAUUCUCCGGCUUCUGGGAGGCAUUGAGCCUAGUGUUAAAAAUUCUAGAAGUCAUGGAUACAACCCAGUAGAAGGUGGCUUGGAAAGGAUGAACACACUGACAUCUGGAAAAAUGCAGCCCCCACAUUAUCAUUGGAGCAGCAUCUUUAGCAAGGAGAGUCAAGGGUGCCAGCGCUGUGGCAUGGAAGGUAAAGCCACUGCCUGUGGUGGCAUCCCAUAUGGGCACCGGUUCGAGUCCUGGCUGCUCCACUUCUGAUCCAGCUCUCUGCUAUGGCCUGGGAAAGCAGUAGAAGAUGGCCCAAGUCCUUGGGCCCCUGCACCCGCAUGGAAGACCUGGAAGAAGCUUCUGACUCCUGGCUUUGGAGUGGCAUGGUUCCGCCCAGCCAACUGGGGAGUGAAACAGCAGAUGGAAGACCUCUCUCUCUCUCUCUCUCUCUCUCUCUCUCUGCCUCUCCUUCUCUCUCUGUGUGACUCUGACUGUCAAAUAAAUAAAUAACUCUUAAAAAAAAAAACAAGGAAAGUCAAGUCAAAUACAAAGUCAAACUCCUUAAACCCAAAACAGCAUUUUUGCCAGUUGUGAGUCUCAAGGG